UACGUAGGUGGCGAGCGUUGUCCGGAUUUACUGGGCGUAAAGGGAGCGUAGGCGGACUUUUAAGUGAGAUGUGAAAUACUCGGGCUCAACUUGAGUGCUGCAUUUCAAACUGGAAGUCUAGAGUGCAGGAGAGGAGAAUGGAAUUCCUAGUGUAGCGGUGAAAUGCAUAGAUAUCACACAGAACACCGAUUGCGAAGGCAUCUCACGAAUCCGCGAUUGACGCUGAUGCACGAAAGCGUGGGUAUCAAACAGG
rnacentral:rRNA from 1 species